UCUAGAACGUCAUCACUGGCGGCCAUCUUGCCACAGGCAGGCUUUCUGGAAGGAUCUGUGGAACCUGAGAUACCAGACUUUUGUGCCGCCUACGGAUGCUCCAAUCGCCGAUGUCUCGAAACGAGAACCCGUGGGAUCACCUUUCACCCGUUUCCCAAAACCAGAGAGAGGAGGAGGACGUGGGAGGUUGCCCUAAGAAGGGACGGUUUUGUUGCUUCUGACAGGACGCUGCUCUGCAGUGAGGACUUCAGGAGUGGAGGGCAUUAGCCAAAUGUUACCACGGUUUUACAGAACUGAUCUUUGCACCACACUUUUGGUUUCCUGCGCUGUUUUACCGAUCAGCAUCAAACAUUGUUAUUUACAGACGUACAGCUAGGUACUAAAGCAACAUAUCUUUAGAAAGCUAAGAUUUUUCUGAUUUCACUGAUGUAAACCAUUUCAAGAUCCGAUCACCACAGCCGGUACAAUCAACGUCUCAGUCAGACCGGAAAUAGAAAAAAUAACGUUCACAAAGUUGAUGCGACUC